AGCUAUAUCAUGUUGAAACAUUGGUUCUCGUACGAUCACCGAAGUUAAGGAAUGUUGAGCCUAGUCAGUAGCUAGAUGGGUGAACGCUUGGGAAUACCAGGUAUUGUAAG